rnacentral:rRNA from 1 species
UACGUAGGGUGCAAGCGUUAUCCGGAAUUAUUGGGCGUAAAGAGCUCGUAGGCGGUUUGUCGCGUCUGCUGUGAAAACUGGAGGCUCAACCUCCAGCCUGCAGUGGGUACGGGCAGACUAGAGUGCGGUAGGGGGAGAUUGGAAUUCCUGGUGUAGCGGUGGAAUGCGCAGAUAUCAGGAGGAACACCGAUGGCGAAGGCAGAUCUCUGGGCCGUAACUGACGCUGAGGAGCGAAAGCAUGGGGAGCGAACGGG